rnacentral:rRNA from 1 species
AACGAACGCUGGCGGCAUGCCUAACACAUGCAAGUCGAACGAGACCUUCGGGUCUAGUGGCGCACGGGUGCGUAACGCGUGGGAACCUGCCCUUAGGUUCGGAAUACUCCCCGAAAGGGGUGCUAAUACCGGGUAAUGCCUUCGGACCAAAGAUUUAUCGCCUUUGGAUGGGCCCGCGUUGGAUUAGCUAGUUGGUAGGGUAAAAGCCUACCAAGGCGACGAUCCAUAGCUGGUCUGAGAGGAUGAUCAGCCACACUGGGGCUGAGACACGGCCCAGACUCCUACGGGAGGCAGCAGUGGGGAAUAUUGGACAAUGGGCGAAAGCCUGAUCCAGCAAUGCCGCGUGAGUGAUGAAGGCCUUAGGGUUGUAAAGCUCUUUUACCCGGGAUGAUAAUGACAGUACCGGGAGAAUAAGCUCCGGCUAACUCCGUG